GGCAGUGUGGCUAAGUGGUCUAAGGCGCUGGAUUUAGGCUCCAGUCAUUUCAAUAGUGUGGGUUCGAAUCCCACCAUUGCCA